rnacentral:rRNA from 1 species
GAUCAUGGCUCAGGAUGAACGCUGGCGGCGCGCCUAACACAUGCAAGUCGAACGGCACCCCUCUCCGGAGGGAAGCGAGUGGCGAACGGCUGAGUAACACGUGGAGAACCUGCCCCCUCCCCCGGGAUAGCCGCCCGAAAGGACGGGUAAUACCGGAUACCCCGGGGUGCCGCAAUGGCACCCCGGCUAAAAGCCCCGACGGGAGGGGAUGGCUCCGCGGCCCAUCAGGUAGACGGCGGGGUGACGGCCCACGUGCCGACAACGGGUAGCCGGGUUG